rnacentral:misc_RNA from 1 species
UCUUUGAAUUGUGGACUACGUGAAGUGUUUCUAUUGGUUUGAAAAUCUGAGAGCUGAGCUUCUAUCGACCUUCACGCAAGCUGAUAGUGAGCUCAUUGUUGGUAGGCCUUUCAGAAGAAAGAUCAACAGCUCUGCGACUGAGAAAUGCUGGUUCUUUGGGAGAUGGAAGCGUCUGUGUAUCACUGCUCAACAUGAGAACCACCAAAGACAUUGUAGGUCGUUCAAUUGGAUCCUCUUGAACACACAACAGCCCCACAUGGAUGCAUUUUACAGCUUCUUUAGGACGGCACGUAUCCUUCACUGAUGGAUCUAUCAGCUCUGCUGCUUUGCCUUCUUUCCACAGUUCCCAUGCCCAGCUAAGAAGGGUGAAAGAAAGUCCACUGCGAUGAAAGCUUGUGUUCCUCUUUCCACUCACAAUCUCCAACAGGAACACACCAAAGCUAAAUACAUCUGAUUUCUCUGAAAAUUGCCCAGAAAAUGCAUAUUCCGGAGACAUGUAGCCAUAAGUGCCCAUGACACGGUUGGUAUUUGCUUCUGUUUGAUUAAUGCCAAAAAUCCUGGCCAUUCCAAAGUCUGAAAUUUUCGGAUUCAUUGCUUCAUCCAACAAAAU